rnacentral:lncRNA from 1 species
GUGAGACCUGUUACCUGUCCACUCUGCCCCAGACAGAAAUGCCAGUUUCUGCAGUAUAGAUAAUUAACCACAGAGGUAUAUCCCUUCUUUCCUUUGCCAGACAAAAAGAAAUACAUUUGUUUUGUCGUUAGUAAGGCUGUGGGUUUAUUUCAUUGUCAACAAGGCUGCAAGUGUUAGUUGAAUGGGUUUUAACUGAUGCAAAUCUCAAUAAAUUGACAUGUGGAUCAAUAGAGUGGUCACUGAAAUACAUAGGAUUUGAGCAUCGUGUGCAGUCAAGUUAAUUCAGACUUAUGGGCACCCUUUCCAGGAGAGAAUACUCAGAAGUAGUUUGCCUUGCCUUUCUUCUGGGGGGGCACCCUGGGGUCUGCACAGCUUGCCCAAGGCCUCACAGGCUGGCUAUACUUCCAGAAGGUGCAGUGGGGAAUCCAGGUCCCAAACUCUGGCUCCACUGAGCAAUCCAGCCAGCAAAAUAACCACGCUCCAUCAAGUCCAUUCUGCCUUACGGUGACCCUUCUCACAAUUUUCCAGGUACAGAAUACUCAGAAGUGGUUUCCCCUUCCCUUCCUCUAGGGGGCGCCCUGGGAUUGUGCAGCUGGCCCAAGGCCCCCCAGGCUGGCUGUAUUCACAAUGGCUGCUCCAUCGCCAGAUAACCCAAACCACCAAACUAUCCAGCCAGCUAUGUAGGAAUUAUUCCAAGCAUCAUGCUUUUUUCGAAUUCUACAUCCUAAGAAGAAAUAAGUCGGGUUCCCCCACUACCACCACCAGUGGCAUUCAAGACUCCUUGGGAGCAGGCCAGCUGGUUAAAUCACAGCAGAGUGCCAGAUGUGGAAAAGCAGAUGCUCAAAAGCUGAGGAGCCAAAACAACAUAGAUCUCAUUCCCAGCUCAGAAUUUUCCAUACCCAUGCAUGGGGCUUUGGACCAUCCCCCGAAUCCUUUUCGGACCAAAAGCUUAGCCACAGAAGACCGCUUGGAGAGAAGAAAGUCCAAGGAUCAAACCGGGGCAUCUCUGGAUUCCAAAAGUUAUGGAACUUUUGAGUUGGCAGCCCCUCCAACCAUCCUAACAUUUUGGAGAGCCAGUGUCAGUCUGUACACACCAAGGAUGGGUAGAAAGCACAUCUGGGCAAUGGCUGAUUUCUAGUGCCACGAUCCUGUUGCCACGUUCAGCACUCUGCAGGGCAAGGCCACAUCCGAUUCCCCCUGUUGGCAGCUCCCCUCCCCGCUCUGUGGUUGGUCCUGUGGUGGGUCACACACCUGACCUUGCAACCAACAUGAGACCAGGUGUGCAAACCUGGCCCAAGGCUACCUGGGCUGGCUUUUCGCUUGGGAGGUGCAGUUUGAACCAAAAUGCUAACCUCUGGCUUUGUAGCCAGGUAGCCACGUCACUCAGCCAUUCAACCAGUUCCGGCAACCUCAGUCAGUAGCCACUAAGACGGCCAUAGCCUCCAUGAAUUUACCUCUUGUUUAAAGCCAUCCACAUAGGCAGCCUUCACACCUUGUGGCACAGAAUCCCACUGAUUUACCAUGGCUCAAAAAGAUACCCUAUUUUGCCAUGUAUAAGACUAUACUUUUAUCUAAAAUCUUUAGACUAAAAAUUGAGGGUCAUCUUAUACACGGAAGCAAGCCGAGGAGAGAACAAACACAAGUGGAGGGGAAAGCAGGGAUCAAAGCGAUCCUGCAGGGCUUUGAUCCCUGCUUUCUCCUCCACUUGCUAAGCCCCACUUAGAUUUCUUAAUUUUGGGCUAGAAAAGUGGGGGUGUCUUAUGUACUUCUUUUUAUCUGUACCUAUGUGGAUUAGAUCUCUCCCUCUCCAUUCAGACCCUCAAGAUUCUAGCAUCUCUGGGAUUCACAAUCUCCAUACGAUGCUGAAUUUGGGGGCCUCCUUUCUUAUCAGCGCUGGCUGGAUAGCUCAGUGAGUUAGGCAUUUGGCUACAGAACCAGAGGUGGGGAGUUCAAUUCCCUACUAGGUAUCUCAGAAGAGCCAGCCUGUGAAGCCUUGGGCCAAUUGCACAAGUCCCACUCUGCACCCCAGCCGAGGGCAUAACAUAAC